AAUGAACGCUGGCGGCGUGCUUAACACAUGCAAGUCGAACGAGGCGGAGGGGGGCAACUCCUUCCAGCCGAGUGGCGGACGGGUGAGUAACACGUGGGUAACCUGCCCGGAAGUGGGGAAUACCUCGGGGAAACUCGAGCUAAUACCGCAUGACAUCUUCGGGACGAAAGUCCUGACGAUCAAAGCGGGGUCGCAAGAUCUCGCGCUACCGGAUGGGCCCGCGCCCGAUUAGCUAGUUGGUGAGGUAACGGCUCACCAAGGCUUCGAUCGGUAACCGGCCUGAGAGGGCGAUCGGUCACACCGGAACUGAGACACGGUCCGGACUCCUACGGGAGGCAGCAGUGGGGAAUCUUGCGCAAUGGGCGAAAGCCUGACGCAGCAACGCCGCGUGGAGGAUGAAGGCCCUUGGGUUGUAAACUCCUGUCGGC
rnacentral:rRNA from 1 species